CCUGGCGCCCGCGCCCGCGCCCGCGCCCGAGCGCACGCUCACCGUGCUGCUGCGCAUGGACGACAAGAUGAACCGCCAGCUCACGUGCGCCGUGUCGCGCCGGGACUCGGCGCCCGCGCUGGCCGCCGAGCUGGUGGCGCUGGGCUUCAUACACGAGGCCGACCGCGAAAGGAUUUGCUGCCUAAUGGAGGAAUCGCUCCGCAACUGCUUCGGACAAGUACCGCGCGCGCCGCAACACGUCGCCAGCUAGUAACACACACUGAAAAGUCCGCCGACCCACUGUACGUGAACUGUGAACACCGCACGUGAGCCUUCAAAUAUAUGUCCGCGAGUACUGUAGAUCGAAAUCUCGAUAGUGUAGUAUCGAAACGCGUAUUUGUAGCUAAAAAGUAAAACUUAGACAAAUAUUUUAGAGAUCAUAAAAUUUUGUAUGUUGACUUGCGUAAAUUAUUAAGUCUAUAAUUUAUAUGAACUCUCGUUAUGGGUAAGUUUUUAAAUUUUGUUUUAAAUUGGUACUAAACAAAUACAUAUCUGUGUUGAACUUGUCA